GCCGGGAGUGGGCGAUCUGGUGCGCCCGUCCGCCUCGAAAGCGGAUUGCGAAAGCUAUCGGGGUUCAAAUCCCUGUCCCGGCG
rnacentral:tRNA from 1 species